rnacentral:rRNA from 1 species
UGGGGAAUCUUGGACAAUGGGCGCAAGCCUGAUCCAGCCAUGCCGCGUGGAUGACGAAGGCCCUAGGGUUGUAAAAUCCUUUCGUUGGGGACGAUAAUGACGGUACCCAAAGAAGAAGCUCCGGCUAACUCCGUGCCAGCAGCCGCGGUAAUACGGAGGGAGCUAGCGUUGUUCGGAAUUACUGGGCGUAAAGCGUACGUAGGCGGUGACUCAAGUCAGAGGUGAAAGCCUGGAGCUCAACUCCAGAACUGCCUUUGAAACUAGGUCGCUAGAAUCACGGAGAGGUGAGUGGAAUUCCGAGUGUAGAGGUGAAAUUCGUAGAUAUUCGGAAGAACACCAGUGGCGAAGGCGGCUCACUGGACGUGUAUUGACGCUGAGGUACGAAAGCGUGGGGAGCAAACAGGAUUAGAUACCCCAGUAGUCCCUGAGCGGGCUGGCAAGGCGCAU